rnacentral:rRNA from 1 species
GACGUAGGGCGCGAGCGUUGUCCGGAUUUAUUGGGCGUAAAGAGCUCGUAGGCGGCUUGUCGCGUCGUCUGUGAAAUCCCGGGGCUCAACUCCGGGCCUGCAGCCGAUACGGGCAGACUAGAGUUCGGCAGGGGAGACUGGAAUUCCUGGUGUAGCGGUGAAAUGCGCAGAUAUCAGGAGGAACACCGGUGGCGAAGGCGGGUCGCUGGGCCGAUACUGACGCUGAGGAGCGAAAGCGUGGGGAGCGAACAGG